AGUCAAAUGCAUUGGAUUCUGAC
rnacentral:siRNA from 1 species